GGCCUUUCAGACAGCAAGACGAGUGACGAAGAUGACUGCCGUGAUGUUCAUACAAAUUUAAAACAUAUUCCAGAGGGUCCCCUUAAUCUACACGACUUAAGCUAUUGUGAUGCGACAUCUUGGUCCAAUAAAGAUGCUUGCUUUCGAUCACCGCUAAAGAAGGCCGCUAGUGUACAAUAUUUUGUACAGGACCGUGGU